rnacentral:rRNA from 1 species
UACGGGGGGAGCAAGCGUUGUUCGGAUUUACUGGGGGUAAAGGGCGCGUAGGCGGCCACCGCAAGUCAGUUGUGAAAUCUCUGGGCUUAACCCAGAACGGUCAGCUGAUACUGCGGGGCUAGAGUGCAGAAGGGGCAACUGGAAUUCUCGGUGUAGCGGUGAAAUGCGUAGAUAUUAGGAAGAACACCAGUGGCGAAGGCGGCUCACUGGAUCGGUACUGACGCUGAGGUGCGAAAGCGUGGGGAGCAAACAGG